UUGCAUGGCCAGUCCACCCUGUUCCACUGAUCUUAGAAGCAUAGCAGGAUUGGGCCUGGUUGUUCCUUGAAUGGGAGACCACCUGGGACCACCAGGUACUGUAAU
ensembl:rRNA 5S_rRNA 5S ribosomal RNA